rnacentral:lncRNA from 1 species
CUACAGGCAAUGUGGAUCAUAUCUGGAUCACAUGUGGAUCAUAUCUUUGUCACCCAGGGGACUGCAGGUGACCAGGGACCCCAAGGACACAGAGGAGAGAAGGGUGACCAUGGUCCUACUGGUGACAGAGGUCCAAGAGGACCAUCUGGACAAAAUGGUGAGAAAGGAGUGGAUGGAGUGGACGGGAAAGACGGCCUUGUGGUUUGUUUGUUUUCUACCUCUUCCUCAACACACAGCCCCCGCAUUAUUAAAUGUUUAACAAGGGUAUCGCUCUGUAAACUUACAAACAGAAAAACAAGGCUAUCAAGGCCUCGUAAAGUGUGAGUGACCAAUUAAACAGGGAUGCAGGCUUCGCCCUCACAGGUCUCCCUUUAUAUACACCCAUAUUCCAGAAUUAUUAGAGGGGUUGAGACGAAAACCAGAUGAGAAUUAAAUACAGAUGAAUGAUGGCUCAGCCCAUGCUGAAGGCUGUUAUUGUUAUGUAACACCUGUACCUUCUUCCAAGGGCCCUGGACCUAUUAUACAGUAGAGAGCAAUACUUUUGUCCAUCCCCGUGAGGCACUAUAUGGAGCAUAACAGGGUGCCAAGAAAAAUGAUCUUAAAACCGAUCCAGGUGCUGUAUGGUUGAUAUGAGCCAGAUGAAUCAUAUAGGUGUUUUAUAGACUAAAUGUUUAGCACUAAAGUGUCAUUGUCACAUCCCUUUAGAAUCCCCCUGGGAGAUUUGGCGGGAAGUUCCUUAACUAUGAAAAUGAUAAAGAAAAACAAUUUUACUUCAUAAAUCAAAUUGCGCUAAUGGAAAUAUGUCAUAUUCAUAAAUGUAAAUUCACUAAUAAAAAAACUCUUCUGUGUUUUCUAUAAGGAAUUUGAGCAGUACAUUAAGACCAUUCUACAUUCUUCUAAUAAGAAAGCUGUUAAAACACUCAAUAUGUGUGCAUCCUCUAAUGUCUUUGUAUAAUCUGUCAUUUGUUGUACCCC